rnacentral:rRNA from 1 species
UACGUAGGGGGCAAGCGUUAUCCGGAUUUACUGGGUGUAAAGGGAGCGUAGACGGCAGUGCAAGUCAGAUGUGAAAUCCAGGGGCUCAACCCCUGAACUGCAUUUGAAACUGUCGUUCUUGAGUACUGGAGAGGUUGACGGAAUUCCUAGUGUAGCGGUGAAAUGCGUAGAUAUUAGGAGGAACACCAGUGGCGAAGGCGGUCAACUGGACAGCAACUGACGCUGAGGCGCGAAAGCGUGGGGAGCAAACAGG